CAGUAUCAUGAACAUUCAAAAGCCCUGAUUCUGCAUCCAUUGUAAAAAGGCCCUGGAGGAAAAACAAAGCUCAUUUCGCCACACAGAUGACAUUGAUGUUGAAGACCAGAUAAAAACCUUCAAAACACGUCCGCAGUCUACUUUGAUACAGAGCUCAUCUCAGCUUUUUUCAGUGACCCCUGACACGUACGUGACCCUGAGGAGUGACUUCAAAGUUGUGUGUGUGACAGGGAAAAGCCAGAGGAACAAGGGAGAGGGGGUCGGCCUGGCACGAAUCACUCUUGGCAUCGGGAAUGCGGUGGAGAGGAGAAAAACGAGGGAAGGAAAGAGAGAGAGAAGCAAAAGUGAUGACAUUGAGAGCUUAUCCUCUCCCUUGGGCCCUUAAGGUAUCGGGUGACCGGGCAAAGAGAGUUCACAUCCAAAAGGAGAGAGGGGAAAAAGAUGAUGAAAAAAAGAGAAAGAUGAUCUCAGUGUUUUUCAUGGGCAACAAGAAUAAAUUUGAGAAAAUGACCUCUUCAGGAUUUUUCCGUGACCCCAGCCGGGAGACGCCGGUGUCUCUGUGCAUUAUGGCUUGACCCUGUGACCUCUGGCUGUAUAUAACUAGCGGCUGGGUAUCUUAGUGCAUCCAAAUGUAAAUCUUUCACUUUUUAUGCCAGCAACUCUCCUCUCCUCUCUGUAGUCUUUAUCAGAGCUUUAAGAUAGGUUUUUGUUUUCACUGAUAGCAUUUCCUCUGUGAAAACAUCACGUCGACUCUAAUGACCUUGAAACUCUGAUAAUCUCAUCUGAGCUAGAGAGCAGAAAUAUCAGAGCACAAUACCUGAUUCAUACAUGAUUUUGAAUACACAAGUGAUGUUUGAUAGAAUAGAAAAAAUCAGAAUAGCACACUAGUAUACUACUUGUUCUACUUUUACAGUAUGCAGUUUGUUUACUGUGCAAAGUAUGUGCAUUUUCUGUAUGCAUGAAAUACCCAAAUGACCUUCUACAUUUGCCAAAAUGUGUAGUUUACAACCAGGGCACACUGUGUGGAUUACUUUACCCCGCAGUGCGCUCUACUUGACCAUCCAUUUCCAGAAAGACAAAUUAACUGGAAGUAAUCAGUCGUGAUUUUUAACAUCUCCUUCUAAACUCCCAAAAUGUACAACAUUUCUAAACAAAAUGAAAUAAAAAACAUGUACCUGUGUAAAUGAUUAACCAUUUAAUUCACCAAAUAAAACAUGC